GUGUAGUCUAACUGGUAAAUUAAAGUUAAGGUAAGAAUUCUUUGAUUUUCUAGGGGACGAUAAGACCCUAGAAGCUUUAAAAAAGAAAAAUUUUUAGCUAUGGUGUUGAUUUUUUUUACUGGGGCGGUAUUAGUGUUUUAACUACUAGUAAUAAAGGUUGAUCCUUAAUAUGAAGAUAUUUCGGUAAAGUUACUCUAGGGUUAACAGUGCGGUAUUUUUGGUAAGGUCUUAUUUAUAAAAAUGUUCGCAACCUCGAUGUUGAAUUAAGAUGUCUAUGUGUAGAAGCAGAUACAAUAGAGGGUUUGUUCAACCUUUAUAUUCUUACAUG
rnacentral:rRNA from 1 species